rnacentral:lncRNA from 1 species
UUAAUCUUAAUUUUAUUUGACUUAAAUUGCUUGUAGAAAGUGAAAUAUAACCAUUUUGUAAUCUUAUAUCAUUAGUUUUAUAAAAUCAAUAUAUAAAUUUUAAAUUUAUAUUUUUAAAAGUUUAGUCACAAAUCUUAAUCCCACAAUUAUAAUAAUAACUAGAUUAUCAACCACAAAAUAAAAAUAACAAUUAAAUAUACCAAACAUUAAAGAAAUAGUGUACAACAAAGAAAAAAAACAAAGAUGAAAAACCUUGACCAACAGGAGGAGCCAAUUCAAAAUGGUGAAGAUAACUAUAAUAUUGAUCACCACCGUUGAUAGACCUUAAAUCUAACGGAUAUUAUUAUUCUUCAACAAUUAAAUAUACCAAACAUUAAAGAAAUAGUGUACAACAAAGAAAAAAAACAAAGAGGAAAAACCUUGACCAAUAGGAGGAGCCAAUUCAAAAUGGUGAAGAUAACUAUAAUAUUAAUCACCACCGUUGAUAGACCUUAAAUCUAACGGAUAUUAUUAUUCUUUUUUCUCAUUAUCUCUUUAUUUUUUUUUUGUUUUUCACGGCUCACGACCUUUGCGAUUCCUCAUAGAUCUUAAACUAAAUUAUCAAUCUUCCCACAAUCUCAUCUCUUCAUCUCUCCUAACCUCUGGUCCUCUGCAAUCUUAUUCUUUAUGGUGAAGCUCGUCACCUCCUCCUUUUGAAACCAUCACUGGUCACCACCAAUGCCGUCCGACACCACCACCACCACCACCACUCGUCACCACCACCGCCAUCCGACAACAUAGACCUCUCUCUCUCUCUCUCUCUGAUUUUGUUUUGAUUUUUUGGUACAGGAAGGUGGGUCAUGAGCAGAGUGGGUCGUGAGCAGAGUUGGUGGUUGUCGUGAGCUUGAAGACAGGAGAGGUACGGCGUCGUUGCUAGCGGCUUCUGCUCACCAGAGAGUGAAGACAAAGGAGAUACCGCGUGAUGCGCCGGAUGAUGAUGACGAGACGUGAUGCGGCGGUUUAGAUUUAUAUUUAGGUUUUUCUGUUUUGGUUUAGUGUUUUUCUUACUUCUGUGUAGUUUGUUUUUGCUUUGGUUUAGUUUAGAUUUUUUUUUUGCUUCGGUUUAGUGUAAUACAACAU